AAUAGAUACCCAGGUAGUCCACGCCGUAAACGAUGAGUGCUAAGUGUUAGAGGGUUUCCGCCCUUUAGUGCUGCAGCUAACGCAUUAAGCACUCCGCCUGGGGGAGUACGGUCGCAAGACUGAAACUCAAAGGAAGUUGACGGGGGCCCGCACAAGCGGUGGAGCAUGUGGUUUAAUUCGAAGCAACGCGAAGAACCUUACCAGGUCUUGACAUCCUCUGACAACUCUAGAGAUAGAGCGUUCCCCGUUCGGGGGACAGAGUGACAGGUGGUGCAUGGUUGUCGUCAGCUCGUGUCGUGAGAUGUUGGGUUAAGUCCCGCAACGAGCGCAACCCUUGAUCUUAGUUGCCAGCAUUUAGUUGGGCACUCUAAGGUGACUGCCGGUGACAAACCGGGAGGAAGGUGGGGAUGACGUCAAAUCAUCAUGCCCCGUUAUGACCUGGGCUACACACGUGCUACAAUGGAUGGUACAAAGGGCUGCAAGCCGCGAGGUCAAGCCAAUCCCAUAAAAACCCAUUCUCAGUUCGGAUUGGU
rnacentral:rRNA from 1 species